rnacentral:rRNA from 1 species
UACGGAGGAUGCGAGCGUUAUCCGGAUUUAUUGGGUUUAAAGGGUGCGUAGGCGGAUUUUUAAGUCAGCGGUAAAGUGUCCGGGCUCAACCCGGGCCGGCCGUUGAAACUGGGGAUCUUGAGUGGGCGAGAAGUAUGCGGAAUGCGUGGUGUAGCGGUGAAAUGCAUAGAUAUCACGCAGAACUCCGAUUGCGAAGGCAGCAUACCGGCGCCCGACUGACGCUGAGGCACGAAAGCGUGGGGAUCGAACAGG